UGUUUCAAACGCCCAUUUAUGAGGUUUCCCAGCAGUGCUGCUGGCACACCAACUCCUACAUUGUCGAGACUGCAGUUAUGACUGAGCUGCUGAGACUUCAGGAGAACAAUCAGCUCCCGUCAUCAGUGUCUGGUGAAGACAUGAUGAAUCUGAUCGAGGAUCGGUGCAAAAGCUCGAGAGUGCAGCUUUGGGAGUUUCAUCUGGAGCCCUACGAUAACCCUGAGUCCCUCCCCCUGCUCAAUCUGUACAAUCUGGUCUGGGAGGUGAGCAACAGUUUGAAGAAGAGGG